GAGCUUGCUCCACCGGAAAAAGAAGAGUGGCGAACGGGUGAGUAACACGUGGGUAACCUGCCCAUCAGAAGGGGAUAACACUUGGAAACAGGUGCUAAUACCGUAUAACAAUCGAAACCGCAUGGUUUUGAUUUGAAAGGCGCUUUCGGGUGUCGCUGAUGGAUGGACCCGCGGUGCAUUAGCUAGUUGGUGAGGUAACGGCUCACCAAGGCCACGAUGCAUAGCCGACCUGAGAGGGUGAUCGGCCACAUUGGGACUGAGACACGGCCCAAACUCCUACGGGAGGCAGCAGUAGGGAAUCUUCGGCAAUGGACGAAAGUCUGACCGAGCAACGCCGCGUGAGUGAAGAAGGUUUUCGGAUCGUAAAACUCUGUUGUUAGAGAAGAACAAGGAUGAGAGUAACUGUUCAUCCCUUGACGGUAUCUAACCAGAAAGCCACGGCUAACUACGUGCCAGCAGCCGCGGUAAUACGUAGGUGGCAAGCGUUGUCCGGAUUUAUUGGGCGUAAAGCGAGCGCAGGCGGUUUCUUAAGUCUGAUGUGAAAGCCCCCGGCUCAACCGGGGAGGGUCAUUGGAAACUGGGAGACUUGAGUGCAGAAGAGGAGAGUGGAAUUCCAUGUGUAGCGGUGAAAUGCGUAGAUAUAUGGAGGAACACCAGUGGCGAAGGCGGCUCUCUGGUCUGUAACUGACGCUGAGGCUCGAAAGCGUGGGGAGCAAACAGGAUUAGAUACCCUGGUAGUCCACGCCGUAAACGAUGAGUGCUAAGUGUUGGAGGGUUUCCGCCCUUCAGUGCUGCAGCUAACGCAUUAAGCACUCCGCCUGGGGAGUACGACCGCAAGGUUGAAACUCAAAGGAAUUGACGGGGGCCCGCACAAGCGGUGGAGCAUGUGGUUUAAUUCGAAGCAACGCGAAGAACCUUACCAGGUCUUGACAUCCUUUGACCACUCUAGAGAUAGAGCUUCCCCUUCGGGGGCAAAGUGACAGGUGGUGCAUGGUUGUCGUCAGCUCGUGUCGUGAGAUGUUGGGUUAAGUCCCGCAACGAGCGCAACCCUUAUUGUUAGUUGCCAUCAUUCAGUUGGGCACUCUAGCAAGACUGCCGG
rnacentral:rRNA from 1 species